UCAAACUUGGUCAUUUAGAGGAAGUAAAAGUCGUAACAAGGUUUCCGUAGGUGAACCUGCGGAAGGAUCAUUAAUGAGUUUGAAAUCGGAGGGCCUGUUGCUGGUGCGGAAACAAACGCAUAUGUGCACGGCUUCCGUGCUCGAUCCACUCAACCCCUGUGCACCCUAUCGAAGUCAGUAAUCUUUUCUGGGCUGUAUGCGGACGGGUGAUUACCAGUAAUUAGUAAGGCGAACACAUUCGUGUUAGUAGUCUGAAGGUGAACGUAAUUCGUUUCGCUUGGCCGGUCAAGGUGAAAGCUUUGACUUUAUUAUAAACAUUUUGUAUGUCUUGUGGAAUGUAUUAGCUCCUUGCGGGCAAAAUAAAUACAACUUUCAACAACGGAUCUCUUGGCUCUCGCAUCGAUGAAGAACGCAGC
rnacentral:misc_RNA from 1 species